UACGUAGGGGGCUAGCGUUGCUCGGAAUUACUGGGCGUAAAGGGCGCGUAGGCGGAUAGUUCAGUCGGGGGUGAAAGCCCGGGGCUCAACCUCGGAACUGCCUUCGAUACUGGCUAUCUUGAGUACGGGAGAGGUGUGUGGAACUCCGAGUGUAGAGGUGAAAUUCGUAGAUAUCGAGAGGAACACCGGUGGCGAAGGCGGCCAACUGGACGAGUACUGACGCUGAGACACGAAAGCGUGGGGAGCAAACAGG
rnacentral:rRNA from 1 species